CAAAUAAACUUCUCCUGCAUCGAGGAUAAAGAUGGAAGAGUAAUUACCCAUCUCUCUAAGAAAUUUCUGAGCGUGUCUCCCAGUGGGGAAAACAGGUCGACCACCCUUGCACAAUCAGGGAGGUGUACGCCUUCCCUGAAUGAAAGAGGAACAAAUCCAUCUAAAGGGCCACAAGGAAGCCAAGAAUCAUGCCAAAGAGAGACAGAGAAACCAUUGCCUAUCACCCACCUGAAGGAUGAACGAAAAUAGGGUCUAAUUUGAAGAAUUUUCUUCCACGACCAGGAACAAGUCCUAGGCUGAGAGGAGAUCCAGAAAUUCCUUUUCUUUAGGAAAAUUGAAUGCACCCAACGGCACCACAAGGAUUCU
rnacentral:lncRNA from 1 species